rnacentral:rRNA from 1 species
UAAAAACGACUCUCGGCAACGGAUAUCUCGGCUCUCGCAUCGAUGAAGAACGUAGCGAAAUGCGAUACUUGGUGUGAAUUGCAGAAUCCCGCGAACCAUCGAGUCUUUGAACGCAAGUUGCGCCCGAAGCCAUAGGUCGAGGGCACGUCUGCCUGGGCGU